rnacentral:rRNA from 1 species
AGAUUGAACGCUGGCGGCAUGCCUUACACAUGCAAGUCGAACGGUAGAGUAGCAAUACUUGAGAGUGGCGAACGGGUGAGUAAUAUAUCGGAACGUGCCCAGUCGUGGGGGAUAACGUAGAGAAAUUUACGCUAAUACCGCAUACGAUCUAAGGAUGAAAGCGGGGGACCGUAAGGCCUCGCGCGAUUGGAGCGGCUGAUAUCAGAUUAGGUUGUUGGUGAGGUAAAAAGCUCACCAAGCCGACGAUCUGUAGCUGGUUUGAGAGAACGACCAGCCACACUGGGACUGAGACACGGCCAGACUCCUACGGGAGGCAGCAGUGGGAAUUUGGACAAUGGGCGAAAGCCUGAUCCAGCAAUGCCGCGUGCAGGAAGAAGGCCUUCGGGUUGUAAACUGCUUUGUACGGAACGAAACGUCUGCUUAUACAGUGGCUAAUGACGGUAACCGUAAGAAUAAGACACCGGCUAACUACGUGCCACGCAGCCGCGGUAA